GAAGGUAAGAUUUAUUUAUUGAAUAGUUUCGGUUAAACCUUCAUAAUGAAUGCAAUUUAACACUUAAUCAUCUCUUGCCUCUUCCAGCGGAUAUUCUGGUGUACAUCAAUGAUACCUGUGUGCUCGGCUUUUCUCACAAAGAGGUAGUGGAAAUGUUGAAAGCCAUUCCGGUGGGUCACACUGUGGACGUUGUUGUCCGAAGAGGCUACCCCAUGCUCUAUAACUCUGACGGCUGUCCGAAGAUGCCCAAUCCUAGGCUAACGGCAUCCCUAGAUCAGUCACUACAUCUACCUCCACCAACCACCACCCAACCCCAGGCCCAGGCUCCUCUCCCAUACGCUCAGCUACACCUCAACCACAACGGGCCCAUGUGGUCUGAUUUUGAGAGGGGAUCCUCAAGGAAUCUCGGAGUACGGGCAUCAAGGUUCAGUUUGGAUGCUAAUGGUAAUUCAUCUCCAUUUGGUUCUCCUUCAAGACAGCCAUACCAGUACUCUAAUGGGUAUGGGAGUGGAUUCCUGAGACCACCACGCUCUACCAAAAGCAUCAGGAGGCUACAGAGUGCAGAACUGGCCAGCCAGAGUGACAGCGAGGUGGUGUCUGCGAUCGGAUCCCAUAGGGCCUCGUUUAUCCGUAACCAAAACAACAACUCUCUGUCCACUCCGCCACCUCUCCGCCUGCACUCCUUCAAAUCUUCUGAGAGUGACCUUUCCUCGAGUACUCCACCACCCAUAUCUCGAUUUCCCCUGCCCCACACUGAAGUAAGUCCAGGCCCUAUCUCUUACUCUCCUGGAGGAGGAAGGCGCUACUCUCAUCUCCAUAAACCCCAGCAUUCACUGCUAACCCCACCUAGCAGCGCCCAUUCUGACGGGCCUUACUUCACCUUCAAUGGCACAGCCAGUGCCAGCAGCGGCAGCCCGAACAGCAGCAUUCCUUCGCCGGGAGCCAGGAGUGCUGUGAACGGGAGUGGAGUUGGAGGAAUGGCUGGUAGUGGGGAAUUAGUCCCAGUUGCUUUGGCUAAAUGUGAGAGGGGCAGCAAUAUGGGGUUCAGUGUCACGGCAGGAGGUCACGGAGGAAGACAGACCCUCGUGAAGAAAGUCUGGGACCACAGACAGUGUAUCGGACUGCAGCCUGGAGAUGCCAUUGUGAAGAUCAAUGGAGCAGAUGUUCAGAGUCUCAGCUUUGCACAGGUCCAAAGGAUUUUGCAAGAACACACUAAAAAGGGGGAGGUUAUUCUGCUGGUGUACAGAGGGGGUAAGUUACAUGUUCACCCAUUUCAUAAUACAGUGUCCACAUUUAAAAUAUGGGAUUUUCUCCAUUUAUACCUGUAAAUAAACUUAAAGCUAGAAAUUUUAAGGAAUUUAUAAGAUUGUGAAAUGUACAAUAAAUAUUUCAGAUUCUGCACUAUUUGAUCAAUUAAGCAGAUUUGUUACUUUGACCAUAUGAUCAUUUUGAAAUCUUCUGAAAUAAUGCUUCAUAUCACAAAAUACAGUAGCGUAGUAGACCUAAUUAUUCAGCUACAGCUAUGCACAGUUAAAAGAUGUGGCAGUUUUAUUUCUAAUAAGAAUAUUUAUUAUUGUCGGGCACUUUAAACAUUGUAAAUACUGUUUUUCACAUACAGGUAAAUAAAAAACUUAAAUGAUUAAAUUAUAAUGUACUGCACCUAAAGUUAAAUAUAAACUGCACUGUACUUAAAUGUAAAGUAAAAAAAUAUACAGCACUUGAUCAAAAAAAUUAACACAGGCAUCAUUUAUCCACCUUGCAAACUUUUUAAAAGUGUUUUAACAUUAAUUUAUAUUUAAUUCAGUGAUUCCUCUGCGUACCACUACAGGGAGCCUGCAUACCACACUUUGAGAGUCAGUGGAUUAGAAGAAAAAUAAUCCUUAAAAUCUUACCCAAACAUCUUAUAUAGUGAGAAAUAUUUGAUGUUUAAUGAUAUAUGAUGCCUGAUGUUUGACUCUGAG
rnacentral:lncRNA from 12 species